rnacentral:rRNA from 1 species
UACGUAGGGGGCAAGCGUUAAUCGGAUUUACUGGGCGUAAAGGGCGCGUAGGUGGUUAUUUAAGUGAGAUGUGAAAGCCCCGGGCUCAACCUGGGAACUGCAUCUUAUACUGGGUAACUGGAGUACAUGAGAGGGUAGUGGAAUUUCCGGUGUAGCGGUGAAAUGCGUAGAUAUCGGAAGGAACACCAGUGGCGAAGGCGGCUACCUGGCAUGAUACUGACACUGAGGCGCGAGAGCGUGGGGAGCAACAGG